GAUGAACGCUGGCGGCGUGCCUAAUACAUGCAAGUCGAGCGAACAGACGAGGAGCUUGCUCCUCUGACGUUAGCGGCGGACGGGUGAGUAACACGUGGAUAACCUACCUAUAAGACUGGGAUAACUUCGGGAAACCGGAGCUAAUACCGGAUAAUAUAUUGAACCGCAUGGUUCAAUAGUGAAAGACGGUUUUGCUGUCACUUAUAGAUGGAUCCGCGCCGCAUUAGCUAGUUGGUAAGGUAACGGCUUACCAAGGCAACGAUGCGUAGCCGACCUGAGAGGGUGAUCGGCCACACUGGAACUGAGACACGGUCCAGACCCCUACGGGAGGCAGCAGUAGGGAAUCUGCCGCAAUGGGCGAAAGCCUGACGGAGCAACGCCGCGUGAGUGAUGAAGGUCUUCGGAUCGUAAAACUCUGUUAUUAGGGAAGAACAAAUGUGUAAGUAACUAUGCACGUCUUGACGGUACCUAAUCAGAAAGCCACGGCUAACUACGU
rnacentral:rRNA from 1 species